UGCCAGCCGCCGCGGUAAUACGGGGGGGGCAAGCGUUAUUCGGAAUUACUGGGCGUAAAGAGCGCGUAGGCGGCCAGGUAUGUCAAAGGUGAAAUCCCUCGGCUCAACCGAGGAACUGCCUUUGAAACUGCCUGGCUUGAGGCUGGGAGGGGAUAGCGGAAUUCCCGGCGUAGCGGUGAAAUGCGUAGAUACCGGGAGGAACGCCUGUGGCGAAGGCGGCUAUCUGGACCAGUUCUGACGCUGAGGCGCGAAAGCGUGGGGAGCAAACAGGAUUAGAAA
rnacentral:rRNA from 1 species